GACGAAGGGGGCUAGCGUUGUUCGGAAUUAUUGGGCGUAAAGGGCUCGUAGGCGGUUUGUCGCGUCGGGAGUGAAAACACCGGGCUUAACUCGGUGCCUGCUUCCGAUACGGGCAGACUAGAGGUAUGCAGGGGAGAACGGAAUUCCUGGUGUAGCGGUGAAAUGCGCAGAUAUCAGGAGGAACACCGGUGGCGAAGGCGGUUCUCUGGGCAUUACCUGACGCUGAGGAGCGAAAGUGUGGGGAGCGAACAGG
rnacentral:rRNA from 1 species